UAUGUGAAGAUGCUGCUUAUUUGCUCUGAGUGCCACUAUUUUGAAUCUUUCUUAAAAAGAACUAGGAGGAAGCAAAUUACUACUUAAAUAGAUGAGACACGGUCAAAAAGCAAAUCAAAGAUAUGCUGCAAUCCAGACAGGCCAAACAGAAUUGUCUUGUAUCUUGUUAGCGAUAAGGCUCUUAGAAAGUAAAGCUAAUUAUCAUUAGUGUAAACCAGAUCAGAGGAUUAAGAAAUGAAGAAUGUGAAGAAAAGCAGAGGGGAUCUCAUGAGUGGUUCAUGCCAAAUUAAACCUCAUUAUUUAAGAUUCUUGCCCUGGUGUCUUGCAAGGUAAACAAAAAAACCUUCUUGAAAUCUUUAGAUAGUAUUCCUUUUUUUACUUCCUUCCUCUUCUCUCCCUUCAGUAUUCUGCUGGGUUUUGCCUGUGCAGGAAAAACAUACUGUGAGAAAGUGCAGUAGAAUAGAGUAGUCAGUAAGUAGAGUAGAGGAAAGUAGAGUAGUUCCCGGCUACUAUUUCUGUUUUCUGUGUUCAUAGAGAGCUGGAUGUGUACUUUGCAAUGGAUUCAGUUCAAAUGGCUCUUUUAUGUAUGGCAGCACUGACAUUUAACUACAAUUAAGGAUUCCCUUCUUGAGACCUGUGGAUGGUAUAAUAUUUUUGCUGGAGACUAAUAGCUUUGAGUUGAUUUUAGCACACAUUUGAAACAGAUUUCUUUUAUUUCCUGGUGUAUAAUUAAGAGUAGCAUCAGUAACAUCAGGCAUCUCUUGAGCCUCUUUGCUAGAGGGAUCCAUUAGGAAACCAGGCCUUUCCUCAAAAAGUAGAUUUGAUUUUUUCGCCAGCUUGCCUGACCACUUGUGUCCUGAGGACUACAAAUCCAUGGUCCAUGUCCACCCUUCUGUCUUUCAAAAUGGCUGAGAAGUUGAGGUGGUGAAUAUUCUUCCUGCCACAAUAAGUGUUGCCUAAUUAUCUCCUAAUAUUGUGUGGCUGACCGAGGUGGUGCAUGUGCCAAACUCUGAUGAAGCAAGCCACGGUUUUCACUUAGUGAAGACUUCCUUAAGAAAUUAUUUAAAUAAGAAAAAGGAGUCUAAAGAUAAAGUGUCUGAUGGCCACCAUGUGAACUCUCUGCCAGGAACUUCAGAGAUUACAGCUUUCCAGCUGGCUCUCCUAUGAGGGCCUUUAAAACCCUCUCCAGUGGAAAUAAUGUGUUUGGUUUGUUAACAAUGAAAACUUCUACUACAGCCAGUGGAAUUCAUGCCAGAGCUGAGGUGGAAGACCCAGCCCUGAAAGCCUUUUGGAUCUGGAGUUCAUGUGGAUGUUGGCACGAAUCCUGCACUUGGUGCUCUGAGAGAUGAUCAUUGGCUUAAGGCUCAAAAAUAUGGCCCCUUUUGUAUCUUAAACAAGAAAGCUGUUUUUCCUUCUGCUGUUUCCAUCAUAGUUAUGUUAUUUGCUUCAACAAAGAUGUCAAUCUGCAUCAGAAUAUUUUUUCUUCUUAAUGAAACUAUUUAUUCUUUCCUUAUAUUUCAAUUGUUAUUUUCAGUAAUCUUUAUAUAUACAAUUCUAUUUCAGUCAUUUCUUUAUGCACAAAACUAUCAGCAAAAGUGAAGAACAGAAUAAAAGGGGGAAUAUAAAUACAUUAAAUAUACUUUAGUUAUAGUCAACCAUAAAUUAAAAUAUAUUAAUGUAUCGUCUAAAACACAAGUUCUUUAACUGACACGUCUGUAAAUGUAAGAGGAGUGUUAUCUUUAUUUGCAAAUUUAUGCACUAUUGUUUCUUUACACCAUCAUCUUUCACGUUGUAAGUGAGGAUGUGCAAUCUCCUUCUGUCCACAGCAGCAGAUUUCACACAUAAAAGCUGAAGGAUAAAAUAUACACAAAAUAAAUUUAAAAAAAAAAGAAGAUAAUGGAAAAGGAAUGAAAAGUGACUGAUCACAUUCCCUCAAAUUCCAUUUCUUUAUUUUUUUUCAUUUUCCUCAUUACUCCUCUAUAAAAUGUUUGUAACAAUUUUAACUUAGUUUCCUUGCUGUUGAUUUUUAUGCAUCAACAGUUUGCCAAACACAGCUUCUGCUCCAUUUCUGCACAGUCCAUGAGUCAGAUUUUUUUUUUCAAACUGAAUUGACUUGUUCUCUUGCUCUCUCCAGGGAGUGAUCAACAGCCACUGUUUAAAAAUUCUCAUUAGGCACUUCAGCAUCCAAGCUGUGGCCCCGUUAUGGUUUCCAAGGUCCUAACAUAGAACCCCAGUGAUUUCCAUACCAGUCUGAUCACACAAAUGAGUUACUAAGUGCAGUAACAAUCAAUUUGUAAAACAUAUGUGUUUCUAUGCUGCUGCUAUCAUUAAUUCUACAAAGGAAAAUAAUUGCAAGAAGCAAUAGUUGUUGUUCAAAAAUAUCAGAAGAGAGAAGAAAUCUGGCUGACAGUCCAAAAGGGAUCAAUACAGCAGCUUCUGGAACUGCCAUGCCAGCAGGAAUCACUUCUUGCUAAUGUAAUUUGUGUGUCUCCUUCUGAGUAGUUAUAGCUGUUGUUGCUCUUCUUGCAUGAAAAGGACGUUAAGACAAAAAAAAGUAAUCAGAAUGGAAGCAUUUUUAUUCCUUCCUACUGCUUAGAAGACUGCUAAAUGCUAAGACAGGGGUUAUCUUUAUAUGUAUCUACUUAUUUGAACAAAUUCACAUAAUCAUAUUUUAUUGUCUUAGUCUAUAGACAUAUUGAUUCUACUCUAAAAAUGACUUCUUCAUGAAGUACGGUCCACUUGGGUGUGUGUGUGUGUAAUUAUUCUUUUUCUUUAUAAUAUAUUUUUCACACAGGUCGGGGGUUUGGAGCUCCUUUGAAAUGCUUCUUCUGUGGCCUGUCCUCUGUGUCAUUAUGGCAGUGACUUUUGCCUAAAAGCUUUAAUAAGGUACUUUUGAAAAUAAUACAUUUUAGUUAUUUUUCCUUGUAUAUCUGUGCAGCUGUAUUCUGAACAGAUCAUUGUAAUUCAGCCUCUGUUUCUAACAAUGUAAUAAGGAGCUUGUUCACACUUGAAAGGUAAUUCUGAUUAAAGCAGAUGUAUAUUUAAUUUCUGUAGCUAUUAUUGAAUAACUCCACUCGUGGUUGUGCUUAUUUGUGCUCUGCUUAUCUCAAAUAACUUUCAAAUAAUGAGACUUAAUCAGAAUAAGAGAUGAUUCUGCAGAAAAAGACAUGUUCAAACAUGAAGGUGUUCAAGAUAUCUAUACCUCAUAUUGUGGACAAGCUGAGAGAAGUUUCAGUGGGACAAUAUUUUAGUUUUCUAGGGGAAUUUCGGGUAACAAAAAUAUCUGAAGUCUGUUUUUAUCUCUGAUGUUGCUUAGAUAAGAGACUUUCUAUUUCAUUUGAAGUUUAACUAAGGGUUCUGUUUUCUUUGAUGAAAAUUGAUGGAAAUCUUGCAAAGUAAGUUAUUUACUGGAUUCUAGUUCCAGAAAAAAAGCAUUAAGAACGGGGAGACAACAGCUGGGUUGCCGUGCCAAGUGAUGGAUAGACCAGUCUUUGCACAGAGAGGGUGACAUAGUCUGUCUGCAGUUUUUUCCACACAAAUUUAAGUACUGUAAUCCAAAGAAGAGGUCAUGCCUUCCUCAGGCUCUAAAGACUUGAAGUCCUAGAAAGAGUUGUCCCACAUAAAGUGGAAGAGCUAUCUGCUGUGGGUAUAAAAUUUCCAUUUUCUGGGAUGUUCUAUCCCUUUCUUUGGGCAUUCUUCUGCGUUUUUGAAGCACUUGUGGGAUCUGAAUGGUGCUCCCCUUCUAAGCAAGCAUGUCACAAGUGCACUGAGAGGCUUGUAAAAGAUGGAGGACUGGGAAAAUAUUAUGAGUGCAGAAGCCUCUGUUAUUAGUUCUCUUGACUAUUUCAGUGAUGUGUCAACCUGAAAUCAUAAGCUUUCACUACAAAGUUACUAGUUCUGCUUCUGUAACAGACAGAAACUGGAAAAUAAUGAUCAUGUUUGUAAAAAAUUCCAAUUCAGCUUAAAAAGAGCUCUACAUGUGACAACUUCUGAAAGAUCCUGUGUCUAAAACUACCUUUACUUAAAACUGGCAACACUGAAGUUACCACUGGCCACAUCUUUUUAAUAUUUUCUGUAAAUGCUGCUGUGUCUAGCCUGUCCCACUUCAAAGUAGCAGUGCAUGACUUGUACUUCUAGGGGGGAACGUGGUUGGAGCACUUUUCCCAAGCCUGAGUGAAAUAAAAGCUCGUUUCCCAUUGAAGCUGUGGCGUGACCUUGCCGAGCACCUUUGACAAGUGGGCUUCUAAAAGUGUCUGCAGGUGCUACACAGCAGUUCCAGAUGAGAGGCAGGGGAGUGUAGAGUAUUUUGAACAAAAAUGCAUUGGAAAAUUUAGGUUGGCAAAAUGUGGUAGUUUGUUGGGUUUUUUUGCAGCUGUGAAAAUGUGAUUUAGUCAGAACUCCAGGGGUAACCUUGUUCAUGGUGCAGUGAAGAUCUCUGAGGACCAUAAAUACGUCAAAUAUAGGUUUAAUACAGUCUCUUAAAGACAAUGCAGCCAAUAAUUCAACCUGACACCAUGCUGGCAUAUUAUUUAGUACCAUCUUAGGGGCACAAAUACUACUUAUGGAGUAGUAACUAGUGUUAAUGCCUGCUAUCUACCUAGAAACAAGUGCUAUUCGACAGUUAUUUGUUACCUUAAAGAGAAGAAAUCAUACAGCAUGUAUUUUGUAUGACUCACACUUCAUAAACUUACAGAUUCAAUGGUCUUUCAGAAGAAAGACUAUUAUAUAUAUGUAUACAUAUAUAUAUAUAAUAUAUAUAUAUAUAAUGUAUAUAUUAUAUACAUCAGGAGACUGAUGUAUAUAACAGCACUUAGAGGAAACAAAUAUUUGUGAAACUCUUAAUUCCAGGACUGAAAUGAAACCAUCAUCUUUGAGAGUGCAGAAAGAGCUGGUAAGGGGUUCACCUUUCAUGUACCUCUCACGUGCUCUCUUGUAAGAGCAUCCUGAGCUGGUGGGACUGCACUCAGGGACCAGCUGUGAGCAAAGCAGCCACAAUUUGAGGGACUGGGUACCCCUAGUGUGUUUUUUUUUUUCUACCAGUCUUUUCUUUCUGUUUUCCUCUCCUCCAGUUCUGUUUAUGUACAGGUAACAGUCCCUCUGGGGAAGUUCUUGCCCUAGCACAUAUUCUCUCUCAGUCCCUUUGGAAAUGUCCCUGUGCUGAUGAAGAUUAUCUGUGGCCUGUGGCUCUCCAGGGGUGUUCCUACCCUAGUGUGUGCCACUGGUGAGUCACAGUCCCUUCAGGGCAUCCUGGCUGUGGGCUGCACUCCCUCUGGCACUGAGCAUCCAUGAGCAGCACAUGUCCCUCUGUGCCCCCAGCAGUGUCCCCGUCCACGUGUCUCUGUCCUCUCUCAGCAGCUGCCACUCUUUUUCAGACAUGUCUGAGCAGAGGCACCAUGUGGUUGCUGGAGGUUUUGGUGUGUGACAUUGUCCUAGUUAGAACAGCUGGGACCAGUUCAUCACUGGAUGGGUGUAACCCAAAACUGUGUAUUCUAUAGCCUUCCAUGCCAUUUCCCAGAAACUGUUAUCAGUAGACCAUUUACACCCUCUGCCCAGAGCAGCCCUGACUCCCCAGGCUAUAAACUGGGUGUUAAGAGGCCCAUGAGACAGGAGGAUGCUCUUGUCCUCACACCCACUGUGGAACUCCCCGCCUUGAGGGAGGCACUGGGCAUUCCUGCCUGAACUGGAGGAUAUGUAAUCUUGGAGUCUUGGGACUUUUUUAACCACUCAUGGGAUCCAGAGAAGGACUGUGACCACCACUCUCAACCAGACUGAGACCAUCACUCUUGACCAGACUGCACCAGCACUCUCACCAACAGGUUUUCCCCUCUCCUUUUACUUUGGACUCAGGGGGCCCAAAGAACACCACUCUGUUCAUGCCCCAGGGUGCUGGGUUAUACAUUUGGGUUUUGUGGGUUAAAACCAAUUGUUUGUCUGUAUAAUCGUACUUAUUGUAUUAUUUUAUUAAAUUGUUAUUCUGACUUAUAA